UACGUAGGGGGCAAGCGUUGUCCGGAAUCAUUGGGCGUAAAGAGCGUGUAGGUGGCUCGGUAAGUCCGCUGUGAAAGUCCAGGGCUCAACCCUGGAAUGCCGGUGGAAACUGUCGGGCUAGAGUUCGGAAGAGGUGAGUGGAAUUCCUGGUGUAGCGGUGAAAUGCGCAGAUAUCAGGAGGAACACCAAUGGCGAAGGCAGCUCACUGGGACGAUACUGACGCUGAGACGCGAAAGCGUGGGGAGCAAACAGG
rnacentral:rRNA from 1 species